GUGAACACUGGUUUUGCUACAUUCUUGGAAUUGGGUUGGGAGGAGACAGAAGCCAGAAGGAGGAGUACGAACCGGAGAGAAAGCAUUCCUCAAGGCAGGCUGCGAUCUGCAGAAAAAUCUCAGGAGUGUCUCUCAAAGGUUAUCAUAAGAAGUACUCAACUCCUUCACGGCAUUCAGAUGAUAGGAACAUAUGGAAAUAAAUAGGAACUUCAAGGAUGCAAGAAUGAAAGCUUCAGGCCAAAGAGAUGCUCCACCACAUUGAGAACAAACCCUCUGAAAAUGGGUUGUUCACACUCGCCAUCAGAAGCUGUAUAGGUGAAUUAUUUAUGCCAACAUAUUUAUGUUUAAAGGUGUAACAAUCUGGGGACAGAAACUGUAAGUCACCUUAGGUUUAAAGAGUGUACUAUUAAUUUACACUAAAGCAGUUACCUCCCAAAUUAUACUCAGUCAAGAAGAGUGUCUGUUCCCAGAGGCCUCAAAGCACAAGCUGCACUCAAGCUUGCUCACCGUUAGCUUCUGCUUCCUCUUUGAUGUUCAAGAUGUGAACUUUCAUCUGCUGCUCCAGUCACCUGUUACCACCUCUCCAACAUCAUGGACUCCAGUCUUGUGAAACCAUUAGCCCCAAAUAAACACUUUUUUCUAUAA
rnacentral:lncRNA from 1 species